CUGCUGCUCCCCCCAGCAGCAGCAUCACAGCUGAGAGGAGCAGCGUCACCGUGGACUUUUAUAGUGAGGCUGUGAGAUCGCCACACAGCACAUCGUCUCCUUGCAAGUGCCCGGUCAGAGUCGCCUUGUUGGUGUUGUUGUUGUUGCUGCUAUCGUCGGGUACUGAAGGCGAUCCCACGUCCCUGCUCCUCCUGCUGCUCCCCCCAGCAGCAGCAUCACAGCUGAGAGGAGCAGCGUCACCGUGGACUUUUAUAGUGAGGCUGUGAGAUCGCCACACAGCGCAUCGUCUCCUUGCAAGUGUCCGGUCAGAGUCGCCUUGUUGGUGUUGUUGUUGUUGCUGCUAUCGUCGGGUACUGAAGGCGAUCCCACGUCCCUGCUCCUCCUGCUGCUCCCCCCAGCAGCAGCAUCACAGCUGAGAGGAGGUGAGGUCGUCUCUCUCGCCCUGCUCACGGAGACUGCGUCCCUGGGUCCCCAUCGCAAUUAUCGGGGUUCCAUUUGGUUCAUCGACUCCUCGUGUCGAGGCGUCUCUCUGUGUGAGAGUCUCAGCCUGUGACUGUUACACUCGUGGUCUACGUGUCUCUUGUGUGUAUCACUCUGUGUGUGUCUCUGUGUGUGUAUCACUCUGUGUGUCUAUCACUC